CAAGGGUGCCGUGGAUUCUCUGCUGAAGGCCAGCGAGGCGGUGCAAGGUCGUCUGUGCGAGAGAUCGAUGUUGAAGAUCGAGAAGCCCUCGACCAAGGCGAUUCUUCACGGUAUCGAGACCGUCGGGAAGUGCGGGGAGAGGAUGAAAUCGGUCCAGGAACUCGGCUACGGCAAACACGAGACCGCCAAGUCGAAGGGUCACGAGGUCGGCCACGGGUUCAAGGUCGAGAAUAUCAAGUACUACGGCGAGUUGAAGGGGUACGACUACAAGUCUUACGGGACCAUCGACAAGCCCGUAUCGUCUGCCCACGAGAAGUCGCACUCGCACGGGCCCGAGAAGAACGGCCACGAGAAAUGUCACUCGAAGACGUCGUCCUCCUCGACCGCGAUGCAGAAUUACGGCCUGUCCAAGGUCGCCGGUGAACGGUCCACGGAGAAGAGCGCGGUGUACGCCGACCAUUAUUAUCACCGAUCGUCUCACUCGAAGCCGCAAAGCGCGUAUCAAGUGUACCAGGAGACCAAGUACUCGUACAACGUGAGCGGGGUGCCCGGGACGCCGGCGCAGGCCAGCGCAGCCGCAGCUUUCUUCGCAAGAGCAGCCCAGAAGUUGAACCUCUCGUCGAGUCCUCACCGUCGACGUCGUUCCGGUGACGAGAACAUCGGUUCGGACGAACUGCCGAUCUUUCCGAAUGGAUACGCUGCCCUCCUCCUGAAGUCACCGCCGCCCGCGCCACCCGCCCUGCUCCGAAGGAUAGGCGUGAAGGAGCUGACGGGCGUCGGCAAGGUGAAAGUGAUGUUGAAGGUGUCACCCGGCGAGGGUGGGAGCUUCUUCAACGCGGACAAGAGGAAAAAGCAGGUGACGUUGAUCGAUCCAACUGCCGGCCAAUCCUCGUCGGCGGAUGAUCGUAGACCAGCGGUGGCAGCCCCAAAAAUGUUCGCCUUCGACGCGAUAUUCACCGAGGAAGAUUCUCAGACCGAGAUAUGUUCGAGUGCGUUGACGGACGUCAUCCAUGCGGUCAUCAAUGGAACGGACGGGUGUUUGUUCUGCUUUGGACACGCUGGCUUAGGCAAGUCGCACACGAUGCUGGGUACACCGGAAGCGGGUCAUACUCUGGGAGCAAUACCAUGCGCGAUCGCCUGGUUGUUUCGUGGUAUUUCGGAGCAACGACAGAGGACGGGUGCCAGAUUCAGCGUCAGGGUUAGUUGCGUGGAAUUAACCACCGGCCAACAGCAGCUCAGGGAUCUUCUCGCGGCACACGCAAACGAUUCCGAGCAGUCACCGGCCGUGUAUUUGAGAGACGAUCCGCUGUUCGGCAGCCUGCAACUGCAACAGCAUAGCGAGCUCCGUGCACCGACUGCGGAACGUGCCGCUUUCUAUUUGGAUGCGGCAGUUGCUGGACGACAACGGGACGACGGCGACGCGCACAUGCUCUACACCCUUCACGUCUACCAGUACAGCGUAGCCGGCAAAGGAGGCGUUGCCGGCGGCCGCAGCAGGCUCCACCUAAUGGACCUGGGUAAUUCGGACCGCGGCAAGUCUUCAGGAGGGAUCCCCUUAUCCGGCCUAGGCAAUAUCCUGCUGGCGAUCUUCAACGGGCAAAAGCAUCUGCCGUACAAGGAGCACAAGCUAACCCAAUUACUGAAGGAGUGUCUCGGCUCGUUGACGUGUCACGCGGCGAUGAUCGCCCACGUGUCGCCCAACGCGCAGCACUACACGGAGACGUUCACCACCGUGCAACUGGCUUCCCGCAUCCACCGAAUGAGGCGGAGAAAGAUCAAGUUCGUGGGAGGCGGGACACAGGGGACGGGCAGCGGCGGAAGUUCCGGGGAGGAAGCGGCGAGGCAGAACAGCGAGUGCGAUCCGAGUUCGAGCGACCUGUCCGCGGAUACGGUGAUCUACGUUGGGCCCAGCACGGACGACGCGACGGACGGAGAGCAUCCUCCGGUCUACAUACCGAGCCUAAACUCGGGUGACAAUCGGUGCGCCAUGGGCAGAGUGUUGCGUGGGUCCACGGCGGAGAGACCUUGCAAGAUCCCGGAAGAGCGCAGUCCGGUUCACAAGUCGACCAAAGUGGUGAAAACGUUGACCCAGACCGCCUCGAAACAGACGUCGCCGGCUCACACGGCUACUCCGAAGGCUAGUCCAGCCAGGAAGAGCUUGGCGACCAAGGUGUCGUCUUCCAAGGUGAAUGAUUCGCCAGGGAGCAAGAUUCCGGUCGCGGCACCCAGCGGAGGCUCGGACGAACAGUGGAUAGACGGUCCCAGAAUCUCCAAGUCCAAGCUCGCGGAAUUUAGGCUCAUGGUGAAGGACUCUCACCACCCGAGAGAGACAUGGAUCGACGGGCCAAUGCAGCUGACCGGUCCGCCUACCUUGCAGCUCCACACUCAGCAACAUUCCUCCAGUUACGGGUUUAUGGACAGCCACAAGAAGAGCAUGAUUAGAAAGUGGGUCGAGAACCAAUCGUCUCAGAUACAGAGAAGCAAACACGCCGCUGCUAGGAACGAAAGCAGCAAGAUAUCUGGACAGUCGUCGCAAUUCAAGGAGCUGACCACCUUCAAGACCUGCGCCGGUAUCGACGACGACGACACCUCGUUAUCCACCGCGGAGAGCGAUAGCUUGAAGGCGAACGAGAUCGAGGACAUCACCGAGAAACUGGGCGCCAAGUUGAACCUUCUGAACGUCAAGUCCAACACGGACUCCGGGUUGGAUCUGACCGCCAGUCCGGUUAUGGACGACAGCGUGGACAAAGGCAAGUUGGACAUUCAGGAGGACGAGGACGACGACGAGGAGAUCGUCGUACCACCACCGCUACCUCUUAUAGAACCCCUGAGCAACGGGGUCAGCAGGGAGGUCUCGAUGGAGAGCCUGAACCUGUCGCACAAGGACAUCGUGCUACCUUCCAGACAUUCGUUGUCUUCCGAGGACGAGAUCCUGGAAAUCGUGGAGGUGGAGGACCUGGAACCCGUCCCGAUGCAGGACUCCUGCCUCCAGGUGACGGAGGAGGACAUCGCCAUGUGCAUGGGAGAGAAUCCUCUGCCCGAGAGCGACCAGGAGGAACAUCCACUGAGAAUCCUUAGCCAGGAGAAUCUGACUGUCGUGUCGACCUUUACGGACUCGAUGUCGGUGAUGUCGGAUACGGAACGAUACAGACCUCAGUACCCACCACCGGUUGGAGCGGGUGUUUUGCCAAGGCCAUACUUCGACCACGAGGAUUUCCUGGAACAGGAAACCAGGUACAAGUUCGACCAGUUGGCUCGGCUCCAUGAGCUCUAUCAGAGCAAGCUCGCGCUGGCCAAUGUCUCCAAUUCCGUAACCUACCAGAGGGAGAACUCCUCGAACGUGAACGUUAGAGACACUCCAUCCGCCCCCGUCUUCCGUCCACCGUCGCGCUGUCAGUCCUUGUCCCUCUCGGACGUGAUGUUCAACGACAACGCGAGCAAUCACGGCAGCAUCUACAGCGAGCCAGCGUACAUCGCCGGCAAGUCCGACCAGGAGAAGAUCUGCGACAAUUGUCGUCAAAGUAUGACGAGACCGGCCACCGCCUCGUAUUGGUACCCGAACAGCGUGGCGCACAUAGCCAGCCCCAGAAGAUACUGCGGCAAACUGGGCGAAUGUAACAUCUCUAGUCUGAGGCAUCCUGACGGUGCCUCGAAUCCGAAUCUCAAGGAAGAGGUGGAGAGGCUACCGGGGAACGGAGCUUCCGGUUCUGAUCCCGAAGAGGAGUACGUCGAGGCGAAGAAAUUAUUCACGGCUGUCGAGAGGUCCGAGAGGACGGUCACUGGCAAGUCGGACAUCGAGGAAGAUCUCAAGGUUCAAGCAUCAGCACCGUUACAGUUGUCCAUUCCAUCACCGGCCCCGUCUUCGGGUCGAUUGCAACGCAAAAUCACCAGCGUCGGCUCCUCGUUAGGUUUGAACAAAGAAGGCUACGACUCCGGUGCCGAUUCCACGCCACGUGCAGCAAAACUUUCGCCGGCCACGUUGUCCAGGCAUCGAGCCGAAAGUUCUGGCUACGACAGCAUCGUUAGAGACAGCGAAACCAGCAGCAUCGCUAGCGACUCGUCCAGGCAUACCGGAGCUCUUCAAGAACAUCAAGGUGGCGCGCUGGGGGUUCUAACCUCGACGUUGUGCGGGUGUUUCAGCGGUGGAACAGCGAGUGGCAGAGUGCGGGCAUCCGUCGCGGGCCCAAUGCCAGGCCCAUCUGCCACGGAUGCCGUCCGCGGCGUUGCCGGGGAUACUCGCGUACACAAGCGAGGACGUGGACAUCCUGGACAGGCGCGCGCAGUUGCGCUCGGAUCCACGUGGCACGAUGUCCAGGAUACACAACCUGCGACUACGGCAGCGCCUUCUUAGGCUCGAGCUUCGCGACGCUAAAAGGCGCCUGAUGGUGCCCGACACACGCUGGAGCUACGAUCUUCACGUAGAGAACAGCAUGGACUGGCGAGAUCCGUCGUUUCUGGAGGCCCUCGAGGCAGAAACGUGUAUCCUGCAGAAGCGAGUGGAG
rnacentral:misc_RNA from 1 species